rnacentral:rRNA from 1 species
AGUGAACGCUGGCGGUAGGCCUAACACAUGCAAGUCGAACGGCAGCACAGUAAGAGCUUGCUCUUACGGGUGGCGAGUGGCGGACGGGUGAGGAAUACAUCGGAAUCUACUUUUUCGUGGGGGAUAACGUAGGGAAACUUACGCUAAUACCGCAUACGACCUACGGGUGAAAGCAGGGGAUCUUCGGACCUUUCGCGAUUGAAUGAGCCGAGGUCGGAUUAGCUAGUUGGCGGGGUAAAGGCCCACCAAGGCGACGAUCCGUAGCUGGUCUGAGAGGAUGAGCAGCCACACUGGAACUGAGACACGGUCCAGACUCCUACGGGAGGCAGCAGUGGGGAAUAUUGGACAAUGGGAGCAAGCAUGAUCCAGCCAUACCGCGUGGGUGAAGAAGGCCUUCGGGUUGUAAAGCCCUUUUGUUGGGAAAGAAAAGAAGCAGGUUAAUACCCCGCUGUUCUGACGGUACCCAAAGAAUAAGCACCGGCUAACUUCGUG